AGUGCGAAGGGUUGUCCUGUGAAGCAAGGUGUCUAGGUGUUGGUUGCUCUACUUCAUGUCAAGGUUUCUCAUGUUACUACAUCAUGAAUGGUGAAAACCAUUUCGGUGGUGGGGUCUGGGAGGACCACUAUCCCCAGUACGAUGAGGCGAAUAUAAGACCUAGCCACUAUUAAAUAAAGUUUAAAUUGCAA